GCGAGCGUGGCGGAACUGGCUAGACGCGCAGGACUUGUUGGGAUCGCUCGUCAGCCGCCUGCAAGGCCGUGAGGGUUCAACUCCCUCCGCUCGCA
rnacentral:tRNA from 1 species